AUGGAGAGCAAGAAGGAAGCCGUCGAAGCUAAGGCGGUUCGGGACAGCGCGCUCGUCAGCCAAUGCGUGCUGUCCCGCAGGGAUGCGUGCGAGGCGGAAGUGAGCCUAAAGGUGCUCCAGGAAGAACAGGUUGCGCAGGCGCGGCAACCCCGGCAGUGGGGGGAAGACCUCAAGACCCUCGAAGCGAAGCUUGCAGAACACGACUCCGAGUUGACGAAGGUGGCAGCUGAACAAGCCACGGAGCAUGGGCGCUUCGAAAUGCUGCAGCGUGGGGUGACCGAGGACCAAGGAGCUUACGCCAAGCACGUCUCCGAGGCAAACGCCAAGCUGGAUGCCAGGGAGAAGAAGAUCCAAGCUGACACCUAUGUGAAGGUAGCGGCGGACCACACCGCCUUCUCUUCUCUUGAGCCCAGGGCCCGCUAA
rnacentral:rRNA from 1 species